rnacentral:RNase_P_RNA from 1 species
CCAGACGGCCGGACGGCCGCUGCCGGCGCGAGCCGGGAGAGGAAAGUCCGGGCUCCAUGGGACGACGGUGCCGGAUAACGUCCGGCGGGGGCGACCCCAGGGACAGUGCCACAGAGAACAGACCGCCGGCGCCGAAAGCCGCCGGUAAGGGUGAAACGGUGCGGUAAGAGCGCACCGCGCCCCCGGCAACGGGGGCGGCACGGCAAACCCCACCGGGAGCAAGACCGAAUAGGGGCGGCAGGCCACGGCUCGGGCGACGAACCUGAGCCGGAGCCAGGGGGUCCCACCCCGCCGCCCGGGUAGGUCGCGCCAGGCGCGCAGCAAUGCGCGUCGCAGAGGAAUGGCCGUCCCGCCCCGGCGCGCGAGCGUCGUGGCGGACAGAACCCGGCUUACAGGCCGUCUGGCAGC